rnacentral:tRNA from 1 species
GUUUUUGUAGUUGAGUUACAACGGUGGUUUUUAAGCCAUUAGUCUUGGUUAAAGUCCUGGUAGGAGUU